ACUACAAAAAAACUGUGAAAUUGCGACCAAAAUUAGCGACCAAAUUUUUUGGUCGCUAUAUAGCUACCAAUCAGCGACCAUUCUGCGACUGAAUGAAUGAAAUAAUAUUUUUAUUUAACAAAAUGCUUAACGACCAAUUUUUGGUCGUUAAUUGGUCGCUAUUUAGCGACCAAAUAUAAAAUGGUCGCUAAUUUAGCGGGAAUUAAUGGCGCGAGUUAUUAGCGACCAUUUUUGCGACGAAAUUGCGACGAAAUUGCGACACCUUUUUGGGCGGGGAUAUUUAGCGACCAUAUUUAGCGACUAAAAUAAUUAGUCGCUAAAUAGCGACCAAUCAGCGACCAAUCAGCGACCAUUUUAUUUUUAAAAUUUUAAU
rnacentral:lncRNA from 1 species